GAUGAACGCUGGCGGCGUGCCUAAUACAUGCAAGUCGAACGCGAGAGGAGGGAGCUUGCUCCCUCUGAUCGAGUGGCGGACGGGUGAGUAACACGUAGGCAACCUGCCCAUCAGCCGGGGAUAACUGCGGGAAACCGUGGCUAAUACCGGAUAAUCCUCUCCACCGCGGGGUGGGGAGUUGAAAGACGGUUUCGGCUGUCGCUGAUGGAUGGGCCUGCGGCGCAUUAGCUGGUUGGCGGGGUAACGGCCCACCAAGGCAACGAUGCGUAGCCGACCUGAGAGGGUGAUCGGCCACACGGGGACUGAGACACGGGCCAGACUCCUACGGGAGGCAGCAGUAGGGAAUCUUCCGCAAUGGACGCAAGUCUGACGGAGCAACGCCGCGUGAGUGAAGAAGGGUUUCGGCUCGUAAAACUCUGUUGUUAAGGAAGAACGCCAGGUAGAGUAACUGCUACCUGUGUGACGGUACUUAACCAGAAAGCCACGGCUAACUACGUGCCAGCCGCCGCGGUAA
rnacentral:rRNA from 1 species